GGGGCUGUUUUGGUUUCGACAGGGAUUUUAGGAUAUAGAUGGCAAGUCGUACGCAAUACGUUAAGGCAUCCAAAAAUAAUUGGAAACAAAAUUAAAAACGCAUUAGCUAACUUAGUAGGUGGACAAUCUACUUUAGCCUUUGCUUAAUUUAAAUUAAGUAAUGCAGUUCUUUCUAUUCUUCUCCCAUGAGAAUAGUUAGAGCUUUAUUUAAUGGGAUAUAUCUUAUUUGUGUCUUGAACUUAAGAUGAAUUUUAAAGACUAGUUUAUUAAUAGGAUUUGUUAAUUUGCUUUUUGAUAAAUGAAAUUUAUAAAUUAACUAAACUUGUAGAGGUUUAUAUACCGGGAUUUUUGGACAGGAGUUCGAUUCUCCUCAGCUCCACCA
rnacentral:tmRNA from 1 species